AUACGUAGGGGGCGAGCGUUGUCCGGAAUGACUGGGCGUAAAGGGCGUGUAGGCGGCCGAUUAAGUCUGGAGUGAAAGUCCUGCUUUCAAGGUGGGAAUUGCUUUGGAGACUGGUUGGCUUGAGUGCGGAAGAGGUAAGUGGAAUUCCCAGUGUAGCGGUGAAAUGCGUAGAGAUUGGGAGGAACACCAGUGGCGAAGGCGACUUACUGGGCCGUAACUGACGCUGAGGCGCGAAAGCGUGGGGAGCGAACAGGAUUAGAUACCCUGGUAGUCCACGCGAUAAACGAUGAAUGCUAGGUGUAGGGGGUAUCGACCCCUCCUGUGCCGGAGUGAACACAAUAAGCAUUCCGCCUGGGGAGUACGGCCGCAAGGUUGAAACUCAAAUGAAUUGACGGGG
rnacentral:rRNA from 1 species